GACGAACCGUGCAAACGUUGUUCGGAAUCACUGGGCUUAAAGGGCGCGUAGGCGGCUCGCCAAGUCGGGGGUGAAAUCUUUCGGCUUAACCGGAAAAGUGCCUUUGAUACUGGCGGGCUGGAGGGAGGUAGGGGCAUGUGGAACUUCCGGUGGAGCGGUGAAAUGCGUUGAUAUCGGAAGGAACGCCGGUGGCGAAAGCGACGUGCUGGACCUCUUCUGACGCUGAGGCGCGAAAGCUAGGGGAGCGAACGGG
rnacentral:rRNA from 1 species